GUAAGCAUUUCUUUUUUUUCAGUAAAAAAUAUUUUCAAUCCAUAUCUGCAUUUUGGAGAGCAGACACAGGAAGAGCCUUUGGAUAAUAUUUGCAGGUUUCUCUUUGGAAGGAGAAAGAAAAUGAUGAAACUGUUUUGCUGUACAAGGAAAAUAUGUAGUCUUUCUUUGCUAGCAUUCAAAAUACUGUGACCUUCAAUUUUCUUUGUCUAUAAGGGUUCCAAAAUCUUAGAAAAGAGCUUGAAAUUGAAAAAAAAAACACUUUACUUGAAGUCUCUUCUGGGAAGCAAAUAUCAUUCAUCACCAGAUCUGUGUAGCAAAUAGAAACACAAGUCAAGUUUCAGGAAGAAAAAGGCAUAAAAACAGAAAGAGAGACCCUUGUCUAGUUUACUUCAGAGACCUAAGAUAACAGCUUCCAAUGUGUGUAGGUGAACAAAAAAUUCUCUACUGAAGUGAUUUGAAAUUGCUUAUGAUGUUUCUUCUUAUAAAGCAAGGAGGAGCAGAGAGAGAAGACGAGUAGCAUGUUGGAACCCAGGAUACUUUAAGCAACAGGCUUACUUUCAGGAAAGUUCUAUACCACACUUAUUUAUGCUUGUCCUAAUAUGAAUUAUAGUAGAUUCCUUAAAGUGAGAAUCUGAUACUGUCUGUGCUGUGACAUCUGUUAGUUGAUCAAUUACUUCUCUUCUGAAUCUUCUGUAGGCUUUUUCCCUAACCUACAUGGCCUUACUGGAAUGACUGUUGUUGCUCAGAUGAUAGAAGGGCAAUAGUCUAAUCAGGCUGCACACUAUACAUUCUUAUCAAGUCUGUGAAACAAACCUGAAACAUAUAGCUCUGCCUUCAUUACAUUUCUUAUGCAUGUUCAUGAUAAAAAAAAUGUCAUUUUGUAUGGCUUACAAAUAGUUGGCCAAAGCAUGGUACCACUGAAGUUCUGAGUUCAUUCAUAUUGAGUCAACUGCCUCACUAACUGUUCACACCUGUACAUUUAUAAUUUAGAAGAAACUAGGGUUUGGGCUUUUUUUCCCCUAUCAUUCAGAAUAGUUUACUGCUAUUAUUCCUGAGCUGUUAAAUAAACACCAUAAAGACAUUGCUAAUGACUUAAUUGGGUUUAAUUUGAACUGGUUUAAUACAGAGGGGAAAAAAAAAGCUGACAACCAUAUUUGUCUAAAUUAUUUUAGCAAGAUAUUUAAUUAGUUACUUUCGUACAGCACUGGAGAAGUCAUAAAGAAGAUAAACUGGUUUUCAGUAGUAGUGAAAUCUGGAGUGCAUUGGUGACAACUUCGUGGCAUAGUUGAUAGUUUGGAAAGUAGAUGACAUGUUCUUUGUUAAUUUUUUCCUACUGCUUGUGAAACUACAAAACAAUUAAAGAAAAAGAAAAGCACAACCUUAUUCAUGAGAAAACAGCACUGUAAUUUCAUUGAAAUGGCUGAGAUUUCAACCUUCAUCAGUCUGGAAUCUGAAAAGCUUUAAGAUUUAAGGUGUGUGAAAUAAUAGUUUUAUCCUUUAGAACAAAUUAUUUGUCUCCUGUUCCCAUAAUUAUUCAUCACUUGCAUAGAGUUAUGUUUCAUUAAAAGAAAAAAAAAGUCCUUGAAACAAUACAGAAAACCUAAGAAUUUUUAUUCUGUUUAUGACCAUAUUUGCAUAUACAAAACAAAACAAAACAACAACAACAAAAAAAAAACAGUAAAUUCACACCUACCUAAAUUCUAGAUACGUGCAAGUAAUCUUAUAAAUCACUUUAAACAGAUACCAAUGCCCCUCACAGGAAAAAACAAAAGCAUGACAUGAUGGUGAGAUCUCAACACGUAAAGACUUCAAAGAGAUACUGAGGAGUAUACUGUUGGUUUAUAAAUUAUUGAAUAUUAUUAGAUAUGCUAUAAAUAAAUUCUCUGUACCAUUUUUCCAACAUAAUUGAUUUUCUGUCUAUAUAAAUAGUCUCAAACUCCAUACAGACCAGUCUGCGCUUAAUCCUGGAAAUUCUGAAUGCAUUACAAUAUCUUCAUGCCAAUAAUGGGGAAAUGGAAAUUUUCUACUCUCUCAGUCAAGGCUACUGUGUAUUGUGAAAACCAGGAAAACUCAUACUUGUUCAGUAUCUGACGUGGAAACAUCAGUCCUACAAACUUGCAGCAUCAAUUUUUAGGACAUACAUACAGCAGGAACGAUAGUGGUUUCUUAAACUACAGCUGCAGCACAAGCCUUCAAGGAAAGCAUUUAAAAGUUUAAGCUCAGUUUCUCAAUUUUGUGUAGCAGGAACCAGUACCCUGAGCCACACAGUUACAUUACAGCCACUGGCAGGAUUUCUACUGCAUCUACCAAUAAACCUUCAGCGAGUACAACGAUUAAGGCAUUAUUAGAGUCUCUGAGAUAUGCAGCAUGAUGCAGUCUUAAAACUCUGCUGUACCAGACAGAAUUAGCUAGAGUGAUCCAUUCUUCAAACGAAAAAGGGAUUUCACUGUUAGCACUCCAGAAUGAUUAUUGCUGUUUAAAUAGCAAGUGACAGUUUGAGUACAUUAGGUGUUACAUGCAGUACUCUCUACGAGCUAAAACCAUUAUAAUUAGACUGCACGGGAAACUCUGCUUGCAAAUACUGACAUAGUAUUGUGGCACACUUACAUUCUGCAGUGCGUAUCUAAUUAUUUAUUUAUUUACAUUUCAAACUUCCAAAAUAGCAAACUUCAUACUCAACAGCUAAUCACUCGCUGUGAUAAAAUAUAAACCAUAAAUGUCAUACAGCACAUAAAGGAGCAGGUUUCUGUUUUACAUUGGGUUGUAUUUACCAGAUUGUAGUAUUCUUGUAUAUACAGCAUCUUGCUUGUGUGGAUUUGUCAAAUGAUUUCACUACCGAGUAAAAUGUCAUUGUGUUUAAUCAAACAUUUUUUAACUCUGUUGUGACAGUUUGAAAAGUUGCUGAUACUUUUAAUGUAGCCAAGUACAGGCAAACUUGACAUUCACUUGGAACUAUUUUGCUUUAUCUGCGGCUGAUUUAGACCAGUACUAUCAUAGACAGUGAAAUUUUAUAACUCUAACUCAUAACACAUUUUAGUUUAAAAACAAUUAGACUUAUUGCUGCCAAAGAUGGUAAUAUUCCUUUGAAUUUAUUGUUCUGAAGUUUCUUCAACGCACACAGCACACAAUACACCUGCCUCUACCGAAGCUGAAGAACUAAAUAAUGCCAGUGUGUCAAGACAAGGGAUGAUACACUGCAGAACUUCAUUUUUCGAGAGGCUACAGCAUGAACAAGUCUGUACAUGUCUUGUGUACACAAUCUGUUUUUAUUUUUGCAAAUCAUCUCUCAAGUUUAUCUCCUCCAACUACUGUUUCUUCUUGAUUCCAUGUUAUUCUGAACGUUCACUGUCUUGCACACACCUACACGUCACACUUCCCAACAUUUUCCCACCUGUAUUCUGUUGCACAUUCAUUGAUUACAAUUUUGGCAAAUAGUGACAAGCUAUUCAACCUCAACUGCAGCAGCAGAGGAGACAGACUUUUUUCCAGCUAAAAUAGUUAGCAGUGUAAUAGUUCCACCAUAAAAACAACAACAGCAACAACAACAAUGUCAGAAUAAUGAAAAAAAUAAGGAAGAUUAAAUAUCAAUAUAAUUGAUACUCACUGUACGAAAAUG
rnacentral:lncRNA from 1 species